rnacentral:misc_RNA from 1 species
GGAAUCAGCUGUCUCCUUCGUUCAAGUGAAGUUUUGGUCGUCUGCUAUAAGUACUUUCUUUCCAAUAUUGAUAAAUAUAUUAGUUUUAAUUCAACUAGUCUUCUAAUCUAAAUGACAAUUUUUUAUCGAUUAAAAACAAAUCUAGUGGAGUUGUAAAAUAUUUUGAGUUCUACUAAAACCUUUGUUUAGUUGUAAAUCCAUGUUUCAAAUGUGAGAAGUUGAGGUUAGCUACUCGCUAAUGUCGGUCUGAGCUAUUAUUUUGUAAUAUUGUUAUAUUUCUUUGAUGUACCUGUUGCAAUUCAAUUAAUACAAAUAUUGUAGAAAGAACUGAAGUAUGGACAGUGUAAAAUAAAACUCCUAAUUAUUGUUUCAAUUGUUCCUAUCCUUCUUAUAAAUCAUGGUACUUCACGCAUUUCCCCUCGCCAAACUCGGCGCAUUACUUUUGAGACAAGUUAGUAAACCAAUAGCAAACUUUUUGAAGGAAAGAGCAAAGCAGCAUCCAUUCUUCAGAACUUAUCUUCUUAUGCCGCCAGCACAAUUCUAUAACUGGUGCGAGGUGAAGAUGAAGAUGUGGGUGCUGAACCUGGGCAAACCUGUACAGGUGCCCCCCCUCAACGAAGCCAUGGCCAUAGAUCUGGGCGCCAAUGUCCUCGGGGAGGGCAUUGUCUUCAUAGUCGCCGCUGGCAUUGUCGGAUAUGAGUAUAACCGACAGGUCCGUAAAGAGGCCGCCAAAGAGGCUGCUCGCAAGGAAGAAAUGAGUGUACUGAACUACACCAUCCAAGAACUCUACUUCCAAAUAGAACAACAGUCGGCACAACUCAGAGAACUCCACAGAACCGUUCACAGUCUGGAGGGCAAGGCGCUCCAAAAACCAUGGAAGUUCAUCUCCUCCAAGGAGGGGGAUGAUACAUCCAAACCACCCCCAAAACCCCCUACUAGUCCGCCUAUAACACCCAUUAGUAGUCCGAUUAGUAGUCCGACUAGCGGUCCGAUUAGCAGUCCACCCGCACCCCAAAUCAUAGACAACAAACAUAGCCAUUCUCAUCAUCAUCACUACGAUCAUGCCACAUAUGAAACGGUUCCUAUGCAUUUGGAGCAUAUUAAUAGAGUAGUGGUCGAUGAACCAGGUGUAAUUUUGAAUGCAGUUUCCUAUCUGACUAACGACAUAUUCAAUUUCAAAAACGAUUACUUCAGGGUUAUACAUUUGCAAGAUGAACGUUAGGGUUAGAUGUUGUUGAAUUUUCAGUUUCUAUGCAGUCUAUUGGUUGAUAGAAUUUCUUUACCUCCACAGCUACUCAGAAAAUUUAUAGGAUUUUAAUAGUUACGGUACCGUACUGUAUCUCCAUAACUACUCAGAAAGAUUUAUAUGAAUUUCAAUAGUUACUGUACUGUAUUUCUUGAAACAUAAUAUCAUGAGGAUAUCACGAAAAUGAAUUCCAUACAGACUAUCUCUGUAAGAAAUUUUCAAUUUGAAAAACGAAAGCUUCACUGUUAUAGAUUUGGAAUAUGAUUGCUAGGUUUACAUGUUGUCGAAUUUUCAGUUUCUAUGCAGUCUAUUUUUUUGAUAGGAAUUUCAAUAUGUGUAGAAACAUAAUGUGAGGAUUUCAGGACGAUGGAAUUCGAUAUAGGCAACUCAUUCAAUAUGUAAGACAUUUUCAAUUU